AACUUUCCUUGCUACGAGUUCGCGAAGCAGGCAUAUUGUUUGUUGUGUUGUGUCCGGGUCUGAAUCUUUCUGUAGUCUGAUCGGUCUGAUCGCUUGAAGAAGCAAGUAGGAACGUUUAGAUUGCUGCAGUGAAACGCCAGAGGCACACAAGAACCCGCGGAUUUGCUCGGGUCACUAAAUUCAAGCUCCAGGUUGCAGUGCCACCCGCAGUCAUGCAACGCAAUGCUGCUUCCAGCCGCAAGCAGUCCACGUCGUGUGAGUUGGGCCUGUCCAUAUCAAAACAGGCCGAAAUGCUCACUCCCGAGGGCUCCAUAAGGAUGCAAACCAAUGAGUUGGAAGGCUUUCAUGAGUCCUCCUCAACCCCGCAAGUGCCACUCCCAGGCAAAGUGCCUUUAGUGCCGGGAAAUUCGACAGGAGCUGGCUGUGCAGUGCAGGGAGCUGCAAAAGUCGAUGAUGCCACAGAAGGCAACUGCAAAAUCAAGAUGGAAGCUGAGACAUCGUGCAACGCAAAGAAGGAAAACCCUUCCUCCGCGAACGUGUGUCUUGUGGUUAGUCCAUAUGGCUGUGGCGUUUGCUCGCGCAGUUUCGAGGAGGUGGAUGCUCUGCUCUCGCACGUACUGACGUGCCCGUGGCCGGAGCCAUUUCGGUGUGGCCUGUGUCCGGAGCUGUGCACGAACUGGGGCACGACGCGGAGCCAUCUCAUUGCUCACAUCACGAGAGGCACGCCAAAGUGCCCACUGUGUGGCCACGCGUUCGGCAAGCACUGGACUGUCGAGCGUCACGUUCAGCGGCACCAUGUGCCCAUCCGGCCGUUCGUGUGCAACUGCUGCGGGGGUGCGUUCACCGCGAAGGCGGACAUCCAGAAGCAUAGCCUUCAGUGCCGUGCAAAUUCGCAAACGGUCGAGAAGUACCUGGGAUCGAGCGAGAAGUGUGACUCGCAGGUUCGCAGUCAUCUGCCCACUACGGUGUACAAGUGCUCCGUUUGCGCGAGUGCGUUUUUGGACCGUUUGGUUAUAGCGAGGCACAUGCGCAUUCAUUUGAAUCAGCUGCAACACAGUCGAAAGGGUGAGGGGCCGAAGAAGCAUCCCUUCGAUUGCGGAAAUCACAGGUCAUACGGUAUUGGACCCCCGAAGGUCAAGCAAGGAGUCAAGGCAUACACGCAGUGCUUCAUUAAAAUACAUGUUGCUGACAAGACGACGUGCUGCAAGGCCAUCUCUAAAGCCACACAGGCUAACUUGCGCUCUACCACGGUCUCCAGCUGGACACAGUGCGAUGAUCUGGAAGACUCUGAAGACGACCUUUGAACUUCCACUGUGAAAUGUAGGUGCAUCCCCACGCAUUUUUGCGAUCGCACAUCAGUGCUGUCAGCAAGUUAACCCUUUGGGGUCCGAAACCUUUACACACCUUCCGUCCAUUCUGGUUCGAAACUAAGGAAAUCAAAGCUCAAGUAAAAGAAGUUUACAUACUCGUUUAGAGAUGGCGCUUAAUGCAAUGAGAGAAUGCACACAUGGAUCAACUACAAAAGAACUUGCUAAGCAGUGCCCUACCACAAACCGCUGCGGGGGUGUUGCGUUGUUGGGAGGGGCCCGAGCGGCGACAGGCCCGUGCUUCGCUGGGCCAAGCUUUGCGCGACUUAGUGCAAACAUUAAAAUUCUUUUGCAUCUAAGAUAUCUGUGCGAGCCAUAUUGCCAUUUCGUUAGUGUCGAUUUAUAUCUCGACUGUUACGACGAAUAUAGGAUAUAACGAGCUAAUUUAUGAUCCCCAUGCUACUUCGUUAUAACGAGCUUCAAUUGUACUACAAACAUGAGACUUGCCGCAACUGGAGACUUGGCAAGGUAGAAAAACAAAAACGGGAGGAUAUCACAAUCACGCCAUGCAAUUUGCACAUUGUUUGCUUGGUAGGACUGUUAAUGCAGCACUUUGUGAAUGUACUGGAAUACAUUGCAUUCUGAAGGAACCAAGGAGUCAAUGUAAUGAGCUUUGAGGACCAACUCUUCUUUGCCACAGUUGCUCCUUUUAAUCAGGGUCUAAGAUGCGAGUCACAGCUGCAGCAGAGCUGUGUGCAGGUGCUGCACAAUUAGCGUCAAAGCUAUGAUGAACGUUGGUAAUGCCGGGCUCAGUAUGGAUUCAAACUGAAGAUUUACACGCACUCCUUUUCGAUCGCAUUGUAAUGUGGCAAGCACACGUCACAAAUUUUGUCACAAUCCUACACCGAGGGAUUCGUCCUCAGCAGGUAGGGUGCCUUCAGAUGUUGUGUCUGAAGUCUCACAUGGGUAACAGGUUGUCAGCACUUAAAUGUACUUCUAUUUUCAAAUAAUAUUUAGCUGCAAGUUCAUUGUUGUAGUGUUUCCCUCUAUCUUGUUUUGUCUGUGUUGUUGUUGCGCUGCUUUCAAUAUGUUCAAGGACUAUUACCAACUAGCUGAGCUAUCAAUUCUUCUGCAGAACUUUUG